GACAGAGGGUGCAAACGUUGUUCGGAUUUACUGGGCGUAAAGCGUGUGUAGGCGGCUUCGCAAGUUGGAUGUGAAAUCCCACGGCUCAACCGUGGACGUGCAUCCAAAACUGCGUCGCUGGAGUCUCGGAGAGGAAGGUGGAAUGCUUGGUGUAGAGGUGAAAUUCGUAGAUAUCAAGCAGAACACCUGCGGCGAAGGCGGCCUUCUGGACGAUGACUGACGCUGAGACACGAAAGCGUGGGGAGCAAACGGG
rnacentral:rRNA from 1 species